CAGAUGAAACGCUGGCGGAAUGCUUUACACAUGCAAGUCGAACGGCAGCACGGGGGCAACCCUGGUGGCGAGUGGCGAACGGGUGAGUAAUACAUCGGAACGUGCCCAGUCGUGGGGGAUAACGUAGCGAAAGCUACGCUAAUACCGCAUACGAACUGAGGUUGAAAGCGGGGGAUCGCAAGACCUCGCGCGAUUGGAGCGGCCGAUGGCAGAUUAGGUAGUUGGUGGGGUAAAGGCCUACCAAGCCGACGAUCUGUAGCUGGUCUGAGAGGACGACCAGCCACACUGGGACUGAGACACGGCCCAGACUCCUACGGGAGGCAGCAGUGGGGAAUUUUGGACAAUGGGCGCAAGCCUGAUCCAGCCAUUCCGCGUGCAGGAUGAAGGCCCUCGGGUUGUAAACUGCUUUUGUACGGAACGAAAAGGCUCUAAUUAAUACCUGGAGCUGAUGACGGUACCGUAAGAAUAAGCACCGGCUAACUACGUGCCAGCAGCCGCGGUAAUACGUAGGGUGCGAGCGUUAAUCGGAAUUACUGGGCGUAAAGCGUGCGCAGGCGGUGAUGUAAGACAGGUGUGAAAUCCCCGGGCUUAACCUGGGAACUGCAUUUGUGACUGCAUCGCUGGAGUGCGGCAGAGGGGGAUGGAAUUCCGCGUGUAGCAGUGAAAUGCGUAGAUAUGCGGAGGAACACCGAUGGCGAAGGCAAUCCCCUGGGCCUGUACUGACGCUCAUGCACGAAAGCGUGGGGAGCAAACAGGAUUAGAUACCCUGGUAGUCCACGCCCUAAACGAUGUCAACUGGUUGUUGGGUCUUCACUGACUCAGUAACGAAGCUAACGCGUGAAGUUGACCGCCUGGG
rnacentral:rRNA from 1 species